rnacentral:rRNA from 1 species
UACGUAGGGUGCAAGCGUUGUCCGGAAUUAUUGGGCGUAAAGAGCUCGUAGGCGGUUUGUCACGUCGGAUGUGAAACCCCGGGGCUCAACCCCGGGCCUGCAUUCGAUACGGGCAGACUAGAGUUCGGCAGGGGAGACUGGAAUUCCUGGUGUAGCGGUGAAAUGCGCAGAUAUCAGGAGGAACACCGGUGGCGAAGGCGGGUCUCUGGGACGGUACUGACGCUGAGGCGCGAAAGCGUGGGGAGCGAACAGG